UAACGUUUGUUCGAAAUACGUCACACAUGACGAAUCGCAGUUAGAUUGUGCUUCUCGUUGUGGUCGGACGUGCGUUUCUUCUGCUCUUGGAUUGCGUGCUGUUCUUUGCGGUUUGCGGACUUUUCCAAAGAAGAUUGAAGAUUUUUCAGAAUGAAGACGUUGGUGCUGGUUGGAGGCGGUUCCGGCGGAGGCAGGCGGUGGCGCCGGAAGGAGGGGGUUUUUCGGACGACGCGGAACGAGUCUGUCGUUCCGUGCCGUUCGAGGAGCGGGGGCUCGACGAGCGAGAGGCAGCGGGUGAAGAAGGCCUUCGCAAAGUGCGCGUGGCAUGGCAUCCUCCCGGAGUCGGGAUGAUGCGACGCUACACCCUGGGUCCAGUGCGCUUGGCCGUGGUCUUCGGGGGUCAUCCGGCCAUAGACCUUGCUGUGGAGGAUGUUGAAAGUGAAGGCUCGUCCGAUCUGACAUUUUCUGGUUGGUCGGGUUCUUCCCGUUCGUCCGCGACGGCGACGGCACCGCCUUGCCGAAGUCGGAAAGGGGAGGAGUCGGAGGAGAGAGCCGCCGAAGUCGAGGGACCGUGCUGUCCGUGGUUUUGUUGCUGCGGACGGCUGCGGUUCCCUUGGCCUAGGCGGUGAUUCUCUUCGAUUUCCUCUUCUUCACCCGGAUGCGACUUUCUUAUCGGAUUCGACGCUUUUCACCCGGACAUGACACCUUUUAACGGACGUGACCUCUCUUACCCGGACGUGACCCACGGACUUGACACGUUUCUUCACCGGACGCAACAUCCGGCCGACCUUUCUUCCCAAACAGCUGUUAUGAGGAAUGAGCUUCCGGUUAGGGUAGGUCAGGUACUUCGCUCUUCUCGUAACACUGUUCGGGAAGAAAGACUGUCUGAUAAAGGUAAUAAUCUUGACCUUAGGUAAUAAAUGAAUAAACUUCUCGUUUUCUCACUGCCUUUGUGUUUUGUAGGAACAUUUGGGAGGGAGAAAAUUCUCCCUCCCCAACUUUACCACGAAGAGGACCAAGUGGCCAUUUAUCGUACAAGUGAAUAUUUUUCGAUGACGUGCCGAAGAUGUUCUUCGAUCACACACACACACACACACACACACACGGACAUAACAUCACUGUACACGAAGAUAUACACCGUUUAACCUUUACUCGAAUUCUCGCACUCACGCACUUACA